rnacentral:rRNA from 1 species
AACGAACGCUGGCGGCGUGCUUAACACAUGCAAGUCGUACGAGAAAUCCUGAGCAAUCGGGAGAGUAAAGUGGCGCACGGGUGAGUAACGCGUGGGUAACCUGCCCUUGAGUUGGGGAUAACUCCGCGAAAGCGGGGCUAAUACCAAAUAAUAUGCCGAUUUCUAUGGGAGUUGGCAUCAAAGAUGGUCUCUGCAUGCAAACUAUCGCUCAAGGAUGAGCCCGCGUACCAUUAGCUAGUUGGCAGGGUAAAGGCCUACCAAGGCAACGAUGGUUAGCUGGUCUGAGAGGAUGGCCAGCCACACUGGAACUGAGACACGGUCCAGACUCCUACGGGAGGCAGCAGUGGGGAAUCUUGCGCAAUGGGGGAAACCCUGACGCAGCGACGCCGCGUGGGUGAUGAAGGCCUUCGGGUCGUAAAGCCCUGUCAGGUGGGAAGAAACCUAUCGAUGUUAAUACCAUCGAUACUUGACGGUACCACCGGAGGAAGCACCGGCUAACUCCGUGCCAGCCGCCGCCGUAA